CUUUGGUUUUUUGAAUUUGGACUGGACUGCUUUUUGAUUUGGAUUGCUCUUUUGGAUUUGUUUGCUUUUUGUGACCUCUUCCUUUUUCUUUGUAAUGGAGCCAGCAAGAAAGAGGAAAUCCUCCCGUCUGGGAGUUUUUUUAAAAUGGUUGGUUACAAUAAGGUGAAAUGCUUGCUGUGCCUAAAGGAGCCGACAUACAACAAUAA